UUCAGACUCUUGUGUUUUGCUUUUCGUUUUGAGACUGUGUGAUUUUUUUUCUUAAUUUUUCUUUUUGUUCUGUAUAACGGCUGAUAACUUCGGUUGCAUCUAUCACUAGUAUGUUGUUUGUGUUAUGGUUGGCAGGUCCCGAGUAAAGGUUCUAUGACAUCUCACCAUCAAACUCCAUUCCAUUGGUAUCACCGUACCUCUUCUCUAAAUGUGACUUCUUGUGAGGAUAAUGUUGUGGGUUAUGGGUUGAUUUAGGAUGCUAGUUAUUCCACUUGAUUGCUUAAUUGAAUCUUUGUCCAUUAAAAUUUGAAAUUCCCUUUUAAACUUGAAAACUGUGCAUGAUUUGGAUGCAUGUUUAGUGUAGUAUUGCUACUUGAGGGUGUAUAGGAUGCAUGAUAGAUCAUUUUUGGGCGGCAUCCCGUUUUUUUACGCACUUGGUUACUCGGUCUUGAUGUCUACUGGCUUUGUGAACAAUUAGUUCCCCUAUCGAGUCGCUCUAGUUGGUUAAAGUCAUAUGUGACUAGAUGGUCAGAAUAAGGUGCAAAAGAGGCCAAUGUACGUAAAUCGUCGUGGGGGUUCAGUUGCGAUUCAGCACACUGGCGACCUUGAGACUGUCACCUGCAAAUUAGACCCUUCAGGCUUUUCUUCUCACCUGUUCCUAGUUAUGGGUCAGGGUUUUUGGCUGAACUCGAUCUAUGUGGGUGAGAACCUUAGCCCGAUAAGGGUCACAACUACCCCACUUAGUCAAUGUUAUACAAAAUUUUGAAAAGUGGGUUUGCAAUUAGUCAAUUGACCCAAACGUAUUUAGCAUAUCAUGUAUAGUAAAAUUAUAAAACAAAAAGGGGAGUGUUCUGAUUUGAAUACAUUAUUACAGUAACACUCCCUCCCUUAGGAAGGGAAAAACACCUAGCAGGACCAUCUGUUUUGAGCAUAACUGAUUGGGGGAAUGUUUUUGUCGGUGGGUGUUCAGUGGUACUAACUAUAUGCGUAGGUUUGUUUUCAUUUGGAUUAGAAGACUAGGUAAAUGUAAUUGUGUGGUUUGGUAAUCUAAAAUGUAUCCUUGGCAUUGUGAAGUAGGCUUGAACUGCUAGCAUGUUGUUUCCUUUUCAUCAUGUUUAGACUUUUCUUAGAGUGCGAAUAGUAAAGUUUAUCUAUCCUUAUCUGCAUGCUUUUUGAGUGAAUAUUAGCUUGUUCCAGCUUCAUUCCCAUGUGAUUUCGUGUUGUGGCAUUAUGUACCUAGACCCAUUCACUUGGACCGUUUCGGUCCAUUUCAUGUGUUUGUUUUUAGUAUUUGUUAUCCAAGGGUACUCUAGAGACAAGUGGUCUGGUUAUGAAGCUAUGGACGUGAAGUAGAGCCCGAUUAGAGCUCGAAUGGAAGAUCGAGAAAGGAAAUGGAGAAGUAGAAGGGCUGCACAUCAUGCAGGCCUGUAAUUGUUUAAAAUCACGACCCAAAAUAGGGGAACGACGUGCACCCCUACAUGUCCUUCCUUCCAUUCAGCUACGCGGGAUUCUGAACACAGGGAGGUGCAUGGCAUGCACCAUUCAGUUUUGGCAGCUUCCUCUAAAAGGACAGAUUUUAAGGAAAGAGAGAGAGAGAUUUCCCCGGAACGAAUUCUCCCGAUGUUUCACAACUUCCCUCUGCAGAAACCACAAUUAUUCUAACCCUAUAAGUUCAAUUGAAGAUCAAAAGUAGUGCCCUUUGAAGAUUGAAACUAGGAUUUACGCUAGAAGACUAAAAGCAACGAUUGGAGCAAGAUCGAUUCGUCGUCUCCUCGUCAAAAUGAUGGAUAGGUCAAAUUCUGAUUCUUUAGAGUUUCUUGGUUGAGAUGUAGGAUUUGAGGAGUAAAGGUUCUAUGACAUCUCACCAUCAAACUCCAUUCCAUUGGUAUCACCGUACCUCUUCUCUAAAUGUGACUUC
rnacentral:lncRNA from 1 species